UGAGGAAUAUUGGUCAAUGGGCGGGAGCCUGAACCAGCCAAGCCGCGUGAGGGAAGAAGGCCCUAUGGGUCGUAAACCUCUUUUGUCAGGGAACAAAAGCGAGUAUGUAUACUGGUCUGAGUGUACCUGAAGAAAAAGCAUCGGCUGACUCCGUGCCAGCAGCCGCGGUAAUACGGAGGAUGCGAGCGUUAUCCGGAUUUAUUGGGUUUAAAGGGUGCGUAGGCGGCGGUGCAAGUCAGCGGUAAAAGCCCGGGGGCUCAACCCCGGCGAGCCGUUGAAACUGCAGUGCUAGAGAAGGCGAGAGGUACGCGGAAUGCGCAGUGUAGCGGUGAAAUGCUUAGAUAUUGCGCAGAACUCCGAUUGCGAAGGCAGCGUACUGGCGCCUGACUGACGCUGAGGCACGAAAGCGUGGGGAUCGAACAGGAUUAGAUACC
rnacentral:rRNA from 1 species